rnacentral:lncRNA from 1 species
CCAUGCCUGGCUUUUUACAUAAGCAAUAGAGGUUUAAACUCAGGCCCUCAGCUGGUACAGCAGACGCAUCCGUCUCACCCACACGUGCACGUCAUUUUCUUAAGGCACCGUUUACUCAGCCCUAGUUACAUAAUGUGGAGAUUGUUUUGUUUGAAUCAUAAAAUAUUUUUCCCACAGGGCAGAUGCUCUGCUGUGCCUUUGGAGUUCCUAUACUCAAGUCAUCUGCUCCUGUUAUUUGCAUCUUGAAUUUGCCACUGAGACCUGUGUGUUGAGUACUCGGUCCCCAGUCCGUGGCGCUCCUGAAAGGAGGUAGAAACUGUGGAGGGUGGGAGUUUAUGUGAGAAACCCAAAUGAAAGCUUCACUGAAAUCGCAUCUCACCCCAGUCAGAAUGGCUAUCCUGAAGAACGGAAGCCUUUCUCCUGUCUGCAAGCACAACAGAGUGGGAUUAAUAGAGGUGGCCUCUUCAGGUGCCAUCGAAGACAGGAGCAAGUCAUCCUCUGAGAGGCUCCACCCAGCAGCUGACCCAGAUACAGACACCACAGCCAAACAGUGAAUGGAGCUUGGGGAAUCUUACAGAAGAGUAGAAGGAAGACUAACAGAAUCAACUAACCUGGAUCCUUGGGGCUCUCAGAGUCUGAACCACCACCCGAAGAGCAUAUACAGGCUGGACCUAGGCUUCCCAGAUCAUAUGUAGCAGAUAUGCAGCUUGGUCUUCAUGUGGGUCCUGAACAACUGGAGUAAGGGCUAGCCCAAAAGCUAUUGCCUGUCUGUGGGAUAGGUUCUUCUAGCUGACCUGCCUUGUCUGGCCUCAGUGGCAGAAGAAGUGCCUAGCCCUGCAGAGCCUUGAAGUGCAGCAGGGGUGGGGCCCAGUGAGGCCCCCACCCACCUAGAGGAAAUAAGGGAGGGAAGGAUUGUGGGAGUUAGUGACUACCGGGAUGAGGGCAGUGAACAGGAUGUAAAGUAAUUAAAAAAAAAGACAACAAAUAUCAGUAAAGGUGGAAAUGGACCCUGAUAUGAUGCUAAUGCAGCAGCUACAGAAAUCAGUAUGAAGGUUCCCAAAAAAACUGGAGUGGCCUAGCUUCCCACUCCAGGGUAUAUACCCAAAGGAUGCUGGGUCAGGAUACCUGAACUUCCUCUUUUGUUGUUGUUGCUGCUGCUGUUGCUGUUGUGGUCCCUGUUGUACUGUAUGUACAGUGUGUGUGUGUGUGUGUGUGUGUGUGUGUGUGUGUGCGUGCUCACGCAUGUGUAUAUAUAUGCAUAUAUGUGUAAGUACCCGUGCAUGUGUGUAGACACUCAGAGUUGACCUUUUUUCAUCAAGCUUUUCUUUAUGGAUUGAGGAUCUCUCGCUGAGCCUGGAGCUCACCAAUUCUGGCUAGCCUCCCCAGCCAGCUAGCCUUAGGGAUCUCUGGUUUCUGCCUCCUGAGUGCUGGGCUUACAGCAGCUGCCACCCCUGUCCAACUUUACAUGGUUUCUAGGGAUGCAUACUCCAACCUUCAUACUUUCACAGACACUCUAUCCCCGAACCAUCUCCCAGCCCCACCCACGCUCACUGCGCAGCUGCUGUUCAUAAUAGCCAAGAUAACCACAACAGCCUGAGGUCCAGCAAUUAGCUAAUGGUUUUUAAAAAAUAUGCUGUCUGUACACAAUGGGAGUUCUAUUUCACAAUAAUAAAAUGAAACUGUCAUUUACAGGGAAUGCAAGGGAUUUGUAGACUACAUUAAGUGAGUCAAGUCAGUCUCAGACAAUACAACUUCUCAUUCGCAGAGUCAGCCUUUGAAAGAAUAUUAUUCUAGAAGAGGGAUGAGAAAGGAGACCACUGGGAAGGAAGGGAAUGAUGCGAUGAUUGGAGGGUGAAUAUGACCAAAAUAUGUGUUAUUCUUGAAAACGUCAUAAUGAUUCUGGUUAUUUUGUACAGCGAAUAUGUGCUAGUCGAAAAGAGAGGGUAGGGGUUGGCAAGCUGGCUCAGUGGGUGAAGCUCUUGCUGCCAAGCCUGUUGACCUGGGUUCGAUCCCUGGAAACCACAUGUGGG